GUGGGGAAUUUUGGACAAUGGGGGCAACCCUGAUCCAGCCAUUCCGCGUGAGUGAAGAAGGCCUUCGGGUUGUAAAGCUCUUUCGGCAGGAACGAAACGGUGAGCUCUAACAUAGCUCGCUAAUGACGGUACCUGAAGAAGAAGCACCGGCUAACUACGUGCCAGCAGCCGCGGUAAUACGUAGGGUGCGAGCGUUAAUCGGAAUUACUGGGCGUAAAGCGUGCGCAGGCGGUUGUGUAAGACAGGUGUGAAAUCACAGGGCUUAACCUGGGAACUGCGCUUGUGACUGCACGGCUAGAGUAUGGCAGAGGGGGGUGGAAUUCCACGUGUAGCAGUGAAAUGCGUAGAGAUGUGGAGGAACACCGAUGGCGAAGGCAGCCCCCUGGGCCAAUACUGACGCUCAUGCACGAAAGCGUGGGGAGCAAACAGGAUUAGAAACCCGUGUAGUCC
rnacentral:rRNA from 1 species